CCUACGGGAGACAGCAGUGGGGAAUAUUGCACAAUGGGGGAAACCCUGAUGCAGCGACGCCGCGUGAGUGAAGAAGGGCCUCGGCGCGUAAAGCACUGUCAGCAGGAACGAAAAUGACGGGAACAGAAGAAGAAGCCCCGGACAACUACGUGCCAGCAGCCGCGGGAAGACGUAGGGGGAAAGCGUGAUCCGCAAUGACUGGGGGUAAAGGGAGCGUAGAGGGCGGGGCAAGUCUGGAGUGAAAGGCCGGGGCCAACCCCCGGGACCGCGCGGGAAACUGCCCGGCGGGAGUGCGGGAGAGGUAAGCGGCCUUCCUAGUGUAGCCGUGAAAUGCGUAGAUAUUAGGAGGAACCCCAUCGGCGAAGGCGGCUUCCUGGACCGUGACUGCCGUUGAUGCUCGAAAGCGUGGGGAGCAAACAGGAUUAGAUACCCGUGUAGUC
rnacentral:rRNA from 1 species